rnacentral:snRNA from 1 species
AGUAUUCCAUUUGCAUUAGCUU